AACGAACGCUGGCGGCAGGCCUAACACAUGCAAGUCGAGCGCGCCCUUCGGGGUGAGCGGCGGACGGGUGAGUAACGCGUGGGAACGUGCCCUUCUCUGCGGAAUAGCCUCGGGAAACUGAGAGUAAUACCGCAUACGCCCUUUGGGGGAAAGAUUUAUCGGAGAAGGAUCGGCCCGCGUUGGAUUAGGUAGUUGGUGGGGUAAUGGCCCACCAAGCCGACGAUCCAUAGCUGGUUUGAGAGGAUGAUCAGCCACACUGGGACUGAGACACGGCCCAGACUCCUACGGGAGGCAGCAGUGGGGUAUCUUAGACAAUGGGGGCAACCCUGAUCUAGCCAUGCCGCGUGAGUGAUGAAGGCCUUAGGGUUGUAAAGCUCUUUCAGCUGGGAAGAUAAUGACGGUACCAGCAGAAGAAGCCCCGGCUAACUCCGCG
rnacentral:rRNA from 1 species